rnacentral:rRNA from 1 species
GACGAACGCUGGCGGCGCGCCUAAUACAUGCAAGUCGAGCGCGAAGCGGGACUUCGGUCCCGUGGAAAGCGGCGAACGGGUGCGUAACACGUGAGCAACCUGCCCCGAAGACCGGGAUAACACCGGGAAACCGGUGCUAAUACCGGAUGUCCUCUUCCGACCGCAUGAUUGGACGAGGAAAUGGAUUCCGCUUCGGGAUGGGCUCGCGGUCUAUCAGCUUGUUGGUGGGGUAACGGCCUACCAAGGCGACGACGGAUAGCUGGUCUGAGAGGACGAUCAGCCACACUGGGACGGAGACACGGCCCAGACUCCUACGGGAGGCAGCAGUAGGGAAUCUUGCGCAAUGGGCGAAAGCCUGACGCAGCGACGCCGCGUGCGGGAUGAAGGUCUUCGGAUUGUAAACCGCUUUCAGCAGGGACGAAAUUGACGGUACCUGCAGAAGAAGGCCCGGCCAACUACGUGCCAGCCGCCGCCGUAACAC